rnacentral:rRNA from 1 species
UCCGUAGGUGAACCUGCGGAAGGAUCAUUACUGGGUUACCGGGCGCUUCGGCGCUCACCCCCACCCUAUGCUUCGACCCGAAACGCGCUCGGCGCCGUGGCCCCCCAUUGGGGGGUCCUGCCGGACUCCAACCCUGAACAACGGUGAGGCCUGAAGUGAAAAGCAAACAGUUAAAAUUUUCAACAACGGAUCUCUUGGUUCUGGCAACGAUGAAGAACGCAGCGAAAUGCGAUAAGUAAUGUGAAUUGCAGAAUUCAGUGAAUCAUCGAAUCUUUGAACGCACAUUGCGCCCCCUGGUAUUCCGGGGGGCACACCUGUCCGAGCGCCAUUUCAACCCUCAAGCUUUGCUUGGUGAUGGGGACCGCCCGUGGGCGGCCCCGAAACACGUGGGCGCCGACGGCCGGCCCUGAGCGUAGCAAAACCCUCGCUCGGGACCUCGGCCGGCGGCCGCCUCGACCUCACACUCACAAGGUUGGCCUCGGAUCAGGUGGGGAUACCCGCUGAACUUAAGCAUAUCAAUAAGCGGAGGAA